GUUCUGUCAUCCUAUUUUACAAGAUUAACUCGACGCCGAAAAUGGGCUGAUGACUACAGGUGACCUUGGGCCGAGAUUUUUCCAAGGCCAGAAGAGCCUCUGCUGGCCAGUAACUUCUGGCGGCUGCCUGGAAAUUGCCUGCAGCCGGUUUACCGCUCGGAUUAGUUUAGAAAGCCAAGGGGUCUGCGGUCCAAAUAGGGGCGGGCUAGAUAAUUAACUUCCCU
rnacentral:lncRNA from 1 species